CCGCCUAUCUAUUUUCCUAUAAAAUUUUGCAUUGUGUUCAUAUGGGAAAGCGAGCUGGCCCGCUUGCCGAGAUCUCAUUUGAAUUUGCCGAGAUCAUAGGUAGGCGGGAUGAAAAUUUUUCCAUAUGAACACGCCAGCCCGCUUACCGGGAUGAAGUGAAACAAGUCUUGCCGGUUUAAUUUAACACUUUUUACUUGGUUUUAUGUUUGUUUUGUAAACAAGUAUUAAAUAACCACCUGAAGCAAUACUUUUUCUUGUAAAUAAACGAAGAAAAACACUAAAAUCGCCAAGUAUUUGUGUUGCUUGACUGAAAUGUAGAAGUUUUGCAUACGCUAAUUAUAGAACUACAAUGUAAUUUCAUCUCGGCAAGUGGGACGAAAUACUCCAUAUGAACGCACGGAAAUAUUCGUCUCGGUAAGCGAGACGUCCCGGUGAGCGGGAUCAUAUGAACAGGCCCU